rnacentral:rRNA from 1 species
AUUUUAUGUACAAGGAACCGGAAGUUACUGGAAAGUAGCACCAUAGAGGGUGAUAGUCCCGUAUGGGUAACGAGUAUAAUAAAUAGUGGUAUCCUGAGUAGGGCGGGGCACGUGAAACCCUGUCUGAAUUUGGCGGGACCAUCCGCUAAGGCUAAAUACUCCUGAGAGACCGAUAGUGAACCAGUACCGUGAGGGAAAGGUGAAAAGAACCGUGAAUAACGGAGUGAAAUAGAUCCUGAAACCAUACGCUUACAAGCGGUCGGAGCCCUUUAGUGGGGUGACGGCGUGCCUUUUGCAUAAUGAGCCUACGAGUUAACGUUGCUGGCAAGGAUAAGUGGUUAAGCCACGGAUCCGUAGCGAAAGCGAGUCUGAAUAGGGCGCUUUAGUCAGUAGUGUUAGACGCGAAACCGUGUGAUCUACCCAUGGGCAGGAUGAAGCGCUGGUAACACAGUGUGGAGGUCCGAACCGGUUGACGUUGAAAAGUCUUCGGAUGACCUGUGGGUAGGGGUGAAAGGCCAAUCAAACUCGGAAAUAGCUCGUACUCCCCGAAAUGCAUUUAGGUGCAGCGCACGGCAUAAAGUUAUAUAGAGGUAGAGCUACUGAUUGGAUGCGGGGGCUUCACCGCCUACCAAUUCCUGACAAACUCCGAAUGCUAUAUAAUGUUUCCGUGCAGUGAGGGCUUGGGUGCUAAGGUCCAAGUCCGAGAGGGAAAGAACCCAGACCAUCAGCUAAGGUCCCCAAAUAUACGCUAAGUUGAAAGAACGAGGUUUGUCUGCCCAGACAGCUAGGAUGUUGGCUUGGAAGCAGCCAUUCAUUUAAAGAGUGCGUAACAGCUCACUAGUCGAGCGGACGAGCAUGGAUAAUAAUCGGGCAUAAGCGUAUUACCGAAGCUAUGGAUUUGUAAUUUAUUACAAGUGGUAGGGGAGCAUUCUAACAGGGUAGAAGGUGUAUCGUAAGGUAUGCUGGACUGGUUAGAAAAGAAAAUGUAGGCAUAAGUAACGAUAAUGCGGGCGAGAAACCCGCACACCGAAAGACUAAGGUUUCCACAGCUAUGCUAAUCAGCUGUGGGUUAGUCGGGACCUAAGGCGAACCCGAAAGGGACAGUCGAUGGACAACGGGUUAAUAUUCCCGUACUAGUUAUUACUGUGAUGGGGUGACGGAGUGAUGAAAGCGCCGCGAACUGACGGAAUAGUUCGUUGAAGUACCUACCUAUAAGACCCGCAGGCAAAUCCACGGGUUUUGGGGAAAUACGAUAGUACUCGGAUACUUCGGUAGAAGAGAUAGUGCGCCUAAGGGCUUCCA